UUUUUCCUUUGUUUUUUCUUUCUUCUCCUUUUGCUCCCUUCCUGUUCUCUGCCCCAUCGGCUCUGUUCUCCCUCUUUCUUUCCUGGUUCCUCGUCGGCUUCCAUACGCUCUAACUCUCUCUCUCUCUUGGAUGUUUCUUCACGCCGGUUUCUUGGACGCAACUUCUUUGGGUCCCUCUCUUUCUUUUCCUCACUUUCUGCAGAAAAACACCAGCCUUCUCUCUCGUCAAAAUCACAGAAAAAAUAAAAUCUAGACAGAUCCUUCAAAGAAAUUGGACCAACUCCUUAGAAAUCGUUGUUGGUGGGAUUUUGAACAUUUUGGAGCAAAGCAACCCGAAAAUCAUAUUUAGGGUGCCGCUCUUGGUCUACAGAUCUUGAGAGGUCCUCGGAACGGUUAGAACGGAAAUGGCCAGAUACAAGUACUGGGAGAACAGUCCAAUAGAUAAUUUUUGCUAAUAAGGAACCUAUGCGGAAAGCUGAAGCUGUAGGCAACAACGACUGUCCUGUCAAGAUUAAGCUGGUUGCUCCUCCAUUGUAUGUUCUGACCACUCAAGACUCUUGAAAUUCUAUGAGGUGAAGUGGUGAACGAAAAGGAAUUAUGGGUGGGGACCUUAUUGCUCAUGAAGGGGAGCGCUGUAACAUGGAUUUUCUUGAUCAUAACUUCUUAGCAGUUGAUAAGGGUGCCAUUUUAAGAUUCCAGUUCAAGAUACUAUUUAAAUUAGUUUCUUUUAAAUUUAAUAACUAUUUUUCCCUUUUGUUAAAGUUU